CUUUCACUUGGCUCUCAUAUUCUGCUAUGAUUUCUUUGUCUUUCUUGAACCUGCUGGGAGUCGACAUUUUCCAGUAGUUCUCCAGAUUCCAAAAUGCACUUUUGCUCGCAGCUAAAAGUUUUAAAAACCCUGAUCAGAACCAGGACAGAACCAAGUGGCCCUGGAGAUAUCACUGGGGCAGGAUCCUUCAGCUGGAGGUAGCAAGAAGACAGGGCUUGUUGGUCAACCAGGGAGCCAUCCUAAUAGCACAACCAGAAACAGGCACAGGGCAACAGCAGUCACUUUAACUAAAGCACCCGGUGGGGGGAGGGUUUAGAGGGGUAACUGGGAUGAGGAGCUGGUAGAAGGGGGUGCCCAGAAUUAAAGAAUAAUCACCCUGGUAAGUAGGCAAGUAGAUUCCCACCGUAGCGAGCUGGUAGAAACGGCUGGAAAACCGCACAAAAGAAAGGAGUCCUUUUGUGCAGAGGAAUGAGGCAGAGGCACCAUGAAGCAAGGUACUAGACACAAUGCAGCAGGCAUACAGGGGCUGACUGAGUGCAACCCUAUGGGCAGGGCCAGCCACACAAGGCACAAUGAAUGGGAGCAGCCAACCCAGCGCUGGGGGCAGGAAGGAGCACACUGUAGGGGAAGGAAGGAGCACAAUAUGGGGUGCAGGCAGCACAGUGCUUGGACACUAAGGAGCACACUGUGGGGUGCUGGGGGCAGAAAAAUGGGGAGCAGGCAGUACAGUACUUGGGGCAGGAAUGAGCACACUGUGGGGAGGGCAGGAAUCAGCACAAUUUGCUGGCGCUAUAUAAAUAAUAACUGUGGGGUGCUGGGGGCAGGAAUAGGCACACUGUGCACGGCAAGAGGGAG